rnacentral:rRNA from 1 species
CAGUCGCCGCGGUAACACGUAGGGUCCGAGUGUUGUCCGGAAUUAUUGGGCGUAAAGGGCUCGUAGGCGGUUUGUUGCGUCGGGAGUGAAAACCAGGUGCUUAACACCUGGCCUGCUUUCGAUACGGGCAGACUAGAGGCAUUCAGGGGAGAACGGAAUUCCUGGUGUAGCGGUGAGAUGCGCAGAUAUCAGGAGGAACACCGGUGGCGAAGGCGGUUCUCUGGGAAUGUUCUGACGCUGAGGAGCGAAAGUGUGGGGAGCGAACAGGAUUAGAUACCCGCGUAGUCCCUGUCUCUUAUAU